GCGACACACUCCCUCCUUCCCAGGGAAAACAAACAAGCCUCUUUGUGCACGGGCCAAGUUGCCAUGAUCGAAUGUUUUUUAUUUCUUAAUUACUUAUAUAUUUUUAACUUUGCUGAGACUCUAUUAAUAGCAGCUGGAAAGAAACGCUCCGUUUCACAAAGUAGCUACAGUCGGGACUCUAGCCGCAGCUCAGAAGCGGCCAUUGCUAAUCGUACUCCCUGUGAGGCCCCCGUCCGAGCAUAGCUCGGCUCCUUGUUCGCAUCAAGCCCCUAACAUCUUCUCAUCUGGAUCAAAGAGUCGACAGCUCUACAGGAAAAGCACUUACCAACCGUGCUUUCAAAAGAGCCCCCUCUGUACUUUCUGGAGACUGAGGCCAAUGCGGUGUGGCUGGUCAGCGAGUGCCUCCCAGAUUUCAACGUCUUAAUAACGGCAGAGAUGGCAUCGCAUCGACGGUUAUGAAUCGGCUGUCAUCGUUUCGUUUGUGGUCUCCACACAGGCCACAUUCCUGCUGCUGAACUUCAUAAAGCAGCUCAGACACUCCUCACCUGGAUGACCUUCAUCCCUUCCUAAGUCCUCUCAAUCAGGCUCUCACCAGCUUAGGUGCCUGCUGGCUUAAGCGACAGAGAAAUAAUGUGCUCAUCUCUGCCAUUGUCUCCCAUCUGGAAAC